UGUUAGCGGCGGACGGGUGAGUAACACGUGGAUAACCUACCUAUAAGACUGGGAUAACUUCGGGAAACCGGAGCUAAUACCGGAUAAUAUUUUGAACCGCAUGGUUCAAAAGUGAAAGACGGUCUUGCUGUCACUUAUAGAUGGAUCCGCGCUGCAUUAGCUAGUUGGUAAGGUAACGGCUUACCAAGGCAACGAUGCAUAGCCGACCUGAGAGGGUGAUCGGCCACACUGGAACUGAGACACGGUCCAGACUCCUACGGGAGGCAGCAGUAGGGAAUCUUCCGCAAUGGGCGAAAGCCUGACGGAGCAACGCCGCGUGAGUGAUGAAGGUCUUCGGAUCGUAAAACUCUGUUAUUAGGGAAGAACAUAUGUGUAAGUAACUGUGCACAUCUUGACGGUACCUAAUCAGAAAGCCACGGCUAACUACGUGCCAGCAGCCGCGGUAAUACGUAGGUGGCAAGCGUUAUCCGGAAUUAUUGGGCGUAAAGCGCGCGUAGGCGGUUUUUUAAGUCUGAUGUGAAAGCCCACGGCUCAACCGUGGAGGGUCAUUGGAAACUGGAAAACUUGAGUGCAGAAGAGGAAAGUGGAAUUCCAUGUGUAGCGGUGAAAUGCGCAGAGAUAUGGAGGAACACCAGUGGCGAAGGCGACUUUCUGGUCUGUAACUGACGCUGAUGUGCGAAAGCGUGGGGAUCAAACAGGAUUAGAUACCCUGGUAGUCCACGCCGUAAACGAUGAGUGCUAAGUGUUAGGGGGUUUCCGCCCCUUAGUGCUGCAGCUAACGCAUAAGCACUCCGCCUGGGAGUACGACCGCA
rnacentral:rRNA from 1 species